AGCAUCGGGCCCAUACCCGCCGUACGCCGGCAGCGGGAGCCAGCGAGGNCUACGCCGCGAACGAGUAGGAGGGCCGCCGCGGUGAGCACGGAAGCCUAGGGCGUGGGCCCGGGUGGAGNCCGCCGCG
rnacentral:rRNA from 1 species